AUGAUUUCAGUGACCACUGGGGUCAUUGUGAUGACCCAGUUUCCAGCCUUCCUGUCUGGGUCUCCAGGAGAAAUGGUCAUCAUCAACUACAAAUGCAGUCAGAGUGUGGGCACAAACAUAGACUGGUACCAGCAGAAACCAGGACAGGCUCCCAAGCUUCUCAACUAUUGGGUAUCCUUCCUGGCUUCUGGGGUCUCCAACUGGUUCCAUGGCAGUGGGUGUGGGACAAAGUUCACUCUCAGCAUCAACAGUCUCCAAGCUGAAGAUGUGGCAGUUUAUUGCUGUCAGCAACGUAAUAGCUUACCACGCACAGAGUUUCAUCCGGGCACAGAAACUUCCUCCCUUGGCUGUGUCUCAAUUGAGAUCCUGGCACCUUUUGAGGAGGACCUGCCCCCUGGAAGCUGA